rnacentral:rRNA from 1 species
GACGAACGCUUGCGGCGUGCCUAAGAAAUGCAAGUCGAGCGAGAUUUUGCGCUGAUCGAAGCUUCGGCAGAGAUCUUGUAAAGUCUAGCGGCGAACGGUCGCGUAACACGUAAGCAACCUGCCCCGAAGUGUGGGAUAGCCCUCCGAAAGGAGGAGUAAUACCGCAUGUGAACAUCAUUCCGCAUGAGAAGAUGUUUAAAGCAGCAAUGCGCUUCGGGAUGGGGCUUGCGGCCUAUCAGCUAGUUGGUGGGGUAAAGGCCUACCAAGGCGACGACGGGUAGCUGGUCUGAGAGGACGAUCAGCCGGAUUGGGACUGAGAUACGGCCCAGACUCCUACGGGAGGCAG